rnacentral:rRNA from 1 species
GACGAACGCUGGCGGCGCGCCUAACACAUGCCAGUCGAACGAGCGAGAGAGAGCUUGCUUUCUCGAGCGAGUGGCGAACGGGUGAGUAACGCGUGAGGAACCUGCCUCAAAGAGGAGGACAACAGUUGGAAACGACUGCUAAUACCGCAUAAGCCCACGACCCGGCAUCGGGUAGAGGGAAAAGGAGCAAUCCGCUUUGAGAUGGCCUCGCGUCCGAUUAGCUAGUUGGUGAGGUAACGGCCCACCAAGGCGACGAUCGGUAGCCGGACUGAGAGGUUGAACGGCCACAUUGGGACUGAGACACGGCCCAGACUCCUACGGGAGGCAGCAGUGGGGAAUAUUGCACAAUGGGGGAAACCCUGAUGCAGCGACGCCGCGUGGAGGAAGAAGGUCUUCGGAUUGUAAACUCCUGUUGUUGAGGAAGAUAAUGACGGUACUCAACAAGGAAGUGACGGCUAACUACGUG